rnacentral:rRNA from 1 species
AUUGAACGCUGGCGGAAUGCUUUACACAUGCAAGUCGAACGGCAGCACGGGGGCAACCCUGGUGGCGAGUGGCGAACGGGUGAGUAAUACAUCGGAACGUGCCCAGUCGUGGGGGAUAACGUAGCGAAAGUUACGCUAAUACCGCAUACGAUCUACGGAUGAAAGCGGGGGAUCGCAAGACCUCGCGCGAUUGGAGUGGCCGAUGUCAGAUUAGGUAGUUGGUGGGGUAAAGGCCUACCAAGCCGACGAUCUGUAGCUGGUCUGAGAGGACGACCAGCCACACGGGGACUGAGACACGGCCCAGACUCCUACGGGAGGCAGCAGUGGGGAAUUUUGGACAAUGGGCGCAAGCCUGAUCCAGCCAUUCCGCGUGCAGGAUGAAGGCCUUCGGGUUGUAAACUGCUUUUGUACGGAGCGAAAAGGCUCUCUCUAAUACAGGGGGCUCAUGACGGUACCGUAAGAAUGAGCACCGGCUAACUACGUGCCAGCCGCCGCGGUAAAAC